UGGCGACCAUAGCGUUUUGGACCCACCUGACUCCAUUCCGAACUCAGAAGUGAAACGAAACAGCGUCGAUGGUAGUGUGGGGUCUCCCCAUGUGAGAGU
rnacentral:rRNA from 1 species